CCCCAUGUCUCCUAGUGUCCCCAUGUCUAUGUCCACAAGUUCCCCCAUGUCUCAGUAUCCCCAAGUGUCUCAGUGUCCCCAUGCCUCCUAGCCAGUGUCCCUAGUGUCUCAGUGUCCCCAUGUCUUCCAGUGGCCUCUAGUCUCCCAGUGUCUGUGUCCCCAUGUCUCUGUGUCCCUAGUGUCUGUGUCCCCAUGUCUCCCAGUGUCCCAUGUCUGUAUCCACUAGUGCCC